AGCGGGCACCGCGCGUCCGCCCUCACACGGCCCAGCCCUCCAGCCUCCCAAAACCCGCGCUGAAUCCUCGCCUGUGGGAACGGCACAGCCGCUGGGCAAGUGCUUAGUGUGUGCGGAAAAAAAAUAUAUGGGGUUAUGCUCCCCUGGAAGCUUGUCCUCGUUUGUUUUCCAUAGCUUGCUGGAGACACUGAGGUGUCGACAAAUAGGAUGGCUUGUAAAUCAGAACCUGCAGGAAGCUUCUCUGCUGUUUACGCUGUGUCAUAAGACAAAUGGCACUGCUGUUAACUGGAAAAUCUGGUCUAGCAUACAUGAUGUGCAUUUAGAGUGACAGUUCUGUACCUUGAUCUACACUUAAUGGUACUCUGGAGCAUCUGGUAGAACAAGUCUUCCUUAGGACAUAUGAAGAAGAAACUACAUGCUCUGAUGCCGGACAAACUCCUGCAUGCUUUACCAUGGGCACCUGAUGAGGGAAGUGCUUUCCUGCAGCUCCUGUUUCACAGCUGAUAAAUUCUGCUUGAUGCAGGUGGUAAUGAGUUGUAUAUUUUUAAGUUUUAUCAGCAUUCUCAUCUGUUGGAAUUUCAUGUUCAGAUCUGUGGGAACUGUUUGUAAGUUGGUUUAGGGUUUCUUAGUGCUUCCUAGUUGAUUUUUAAAAAUAGCUAUAAUGUUAAACUAGAUAACCUGAUUAAUCUGUCAGAAUUUGAAAUGUGUUCUAAAAGUUAUAAGACAUUUCUGUUGCCAUUUGUUCCUUUAAAUGUUCUGCAAUUAAUGAUAGAUGGCUUUAUUUUAAUGUGCCAAGAAAUACCAAUGCAGAAAUAGCUACUGGAAUUUGAUUGCUCAGUCACCCACAAAUUUAUCAAAUAGGCUAAAGCAGUCGAGUUUGAUCCCAAAUACCCUAAGUAUUCAUGUAUGAGGGUAUUCAUAUAUGAUGGGAUUGAUUAUGGUAAUGUUUAGCAGAUUUUGAUAGUCCAUCUUCACAUGUUUUUUAGAAGGAAAUACAUAUUGUCCAUACUAUAUUAGGGUAUUACAGGGUAAUUGUAAAUACUUUUAAUAUUUUUCAUGCAAAUUCUUUGGCUCCAAGAUUACAAAUAACAGAGACCAAGUUAAGGCUCGUUAUGUUUUUUAAAAGUCUAACAGAUAAAAGCAAAGCAUGGGAACAAACUGAAGUAGUUAUCACAGUUAUUUAAAACCCCAGAGCAGAACUGUUGCCUGAGAUUAGGUCUCAUACCAGAACAGCCAAACAGAGGAAGCUGUAUCUUCUGCUGCAGUUGCAGAGAGGUCACUCGUGUGCCUGGGAUAAAGGUCCUGUCCUCUCCAGGACACCCUGGAGAGCUGUCCUGUGAGCCCUCAGUAGCUCUGGGAUGUUCUGAACACAGUGUGUUGAUUGCGUGAGCUCAGAUUGAGCCUGGAGAGCUCAGGCCUCAGUUCUGCUGUGUGAGGGCUGUGCUGGAUUGAUGUGUGUCCUGUGCAGCUCACCGGCUUGUGCUCCACGUGUCUGAUGCACCUCGUGACUAACAGCUUAUUAUCAGUAAUAGCUGAUUUUAAAAAGUUAUUUGGAAAUUGAGGCAAUUUGUAAAACCCUUCAGCCUUGCCCUUACAUUCUUUCACAGUAUGCAGGAUUCAGGGAACAAACCAUUCCAAAAUAUUUUUGAACAGCUGCAAGAAGAAUUUAACUUUGUUACUGAAAAAGAUAUUAAAAAGUGUAAAUGCUUCCAGCUGUUGCAGUGGUAAAACUUCUGUUUAUAGGGAGAUAAAACAUACCGUAUUUCAGGAAUUUGGUGUUUCAGAUACAGUUUUUGUUUUAAACUUGUACCUGAUAAGUUGUGUUACAUUUAAUCUCUGAUUUUUUUAUAUUUUGUGAAUCAAUCUUUCCUGUUCUUUUAUAUGUUUAUGUAGCAGAGAAUUUUGUUCAUUAUCAAUCUAAAUGCCAAGUUAGAUCUAUCUAUACUUUCAACACAUUUGGAUUUACUGUAAUUAGAAGCAUAUUAGAUAUAUUAGCUAACAGUACAAAUUAAAAAUCCAGUAAGAAUUUUAUUAUAGCUUGCAAAAUUUUACUUACAGGUGUUAGAUACAUAUUGAGAUGCUAUGGUCCUCUGAACAAAAUUCACAAUUUUUCUCUCAAAUGUUUGCAAAGUGAAGCUCUGGGUAAAAACUUUUAAAUGUAGUUAAAACCCAACAUUUUAAUUUGAUACUUCAUCUAGCAUGCUGAUUUUUGUAGACUGCAGUCCUUCACAUUCUUGAUUGAAGGGAUUGUAUAUUCUAUGAAACUUUGUGAACCCUCACACUGAGCUGCCACAAUUUAUCAUGAGAUGGAGCUCUGAGGCAGAGCAAGAGUCAGCAAAGGCAGUGGCACUACAGCACUAUGGGCAUUAUCCCUUUCUAAUGUUUCUAGUUUGGGAAAAAUUCUGCCUUCUCUAAAGUGUGAACUCUUCAGCUACAUUUAGAAAUUUCCAAAAGAACCUGACAUCCUGUGAAAUACUUGUGCAGUUGAAACGCUGGAAAUUUUUUUUCAAAAAGCCGACUGGUAUGAACUUCUGUCUUUUCCUUCAUUCAAAGUCUUAUAGCUCCUCCUCCAAUUAGUGGUUUCAAAAAUUGGAUAUCACGAGGAAAUAUCUAUCACACCCUUACAAGAGUUGUCCUAAUACUUAGAUAUCACAAUGCUUUAUUUCUGUCAUGUACUCCAGUUUAAAUUUAUCACGAAUCAGCUUCCUGGACUCUUCUGUGGUGUGCCCAUAUCUGCUAGUUCAGGAUCCCAUACGAGAUAUGUUCUUCUUGUGCAGAGCUGAUAGGCUGUUGGUGGCAUUCUGUGUUUAAAUAAAAUUGACUUUCUUCACUCUGUCUCUAGAAUGCAAGUUUUCUUGUCAAUGUUUCUUGCAACUCUUUCUGAGGCUUUCCCAUUCAUUGAACUAAUAAAUUAGGGAUUUUUUUUUUGUUAUAAAUAUUUUCAUAAUGCUCAGUCUUUAUAGUAGGAUUAGCUAUGAAAUUAAGGGGUUUUUAACUGGUUUCAUGCAAAGGAUGGGUAUAUUCUGGGAGUUACUGGUUUUUGAGGUCCAUUUUUAUAGAGAUUUUUUUAUAGUUUCCUGCCAAUGUUUAUGCUUUUUUUGAUAGUUGCAGAUGAGGCCAGAAAAAACAGGGUGUGUUCCCAUACAGAGAACAUAAAUGGAAAUAAAAACUGUGAUUGUUACAAACAACUGACACAUAGACUGAUAGUUUGAGGUAUCUACUACCUCAUUUCUCAAACCCUUUGUAACAUGGCGACCUUGAAAAAGAUCCCUUCCUGACUAAUUAGGCAGUUGUUAUAUUUAUAGGUAUUAUAAAAUUAUUUUAUACUUUUCUUGUAAACAGAUGUGUCCACAUGGGUGCUGUCAGUAGCAGCCAUACAGGGCAGGGCUGUUCAUCACAUGCUUAUUUGAAUAGGUGUAAAUUUAAAAAUUCUAGUAAUUCCAAAGAAAUUUAUAGUUGCAUGAGCAGAUGGCAGAAACAGCUGAGUUACCUAUUCAUUUAUAGAACAUCUUAUGAGUAAGAUGUUCUGCCAGGUAAAAAGGGAGUUGGAAGGCAUCAGUAGGUGGCAGAAAAAUACUGGUAUUGUACCUUUAGCUGUGUAACCAGAAGCUGACAUCUCUGCCUUUAUAAUAUUUUAAAGUUUUAAUUUUUCUCUGUGCUGAGCUCCAGAUCCCUUUACAAGACUUCUGUUUCCAUGUUUUCAGUUAUGACAACCUAGUGCUGUAUUACUGUUCUUCAAAUAGUUCAAAUCUGUCAUCAGAGGGAACUUUCCAGAUGCUUUGAUGUGAAGCAGACAGCUUGUCUUUCCAUGAGCAGGGAAGUUUGAGGGGUGGUGAAAUGAGAAAGUGCUCACAGCUGAGAACCCUGGAACUGAUACUGAAAUUGCUCUAGGAUACUGCAACUAUAUAGUAUGUAUACUAUAUAUACUAUAUGGAAUAGUUACUUUGCUCUUCUGUGGUUUUUUUGUUGGUUUUUUGGUUUUUUUUUUUUUGCAAACUGAUAUUUUCAAUAUCAGUUUGAAAAGGUGAACACUGAGCUUAGGACUCUUGAGUCUUUGAUCUGCACAGCAUCAUAUUUUAUCCAGCAGUGCUUACUUCAAAGUACAAUAAUAUAUGAAAAUCAUGUCUGACUUCUGUGGGCUUUGGAAAUUAUAUGACUGCAUCAACUCUAUGCUCCAUCUUAAGCUAAAAAACUGGCUAGAUCCAAGCUAGCAUAUGAGGAACCAGUUCUGGUAUCUAUACCAGCAGCACUGUUGUUUCUUGUUCAAUCUGCCAACAAAUAGUUUUAGCUUUGUGUUCAGUUAUAUCAUCUUUGCUUUUGAUAGGAUGUGUUUCACAUUGGCCACUCAUAUGAGAAAGAACUGGCUUGGAUCAGUUAUCACACUGUUCUCAGCUCCUCUGGAGCAAUUAAAAGUCAUGCAAAAUGAAAUAUAAAAUAUUUCUGUGGUAUUUGCAAAACUCUGUAGGAGCUUUUGUUGUUACAAAAGUAAGGUGAUAAGGUUUUCAGAGUGAUGACAUUCUGCAGAGUCCAGUAGUACAUAUUCUAACAACAGCUCCAGUGUAUUAUCAUUUGUGAGAGCUCUUGGUGUCUCUGUGUGUCUUGGAGCUGAUAUGAAGACAGCUCCCUACUUUUGUUGCAUGACUCCAAAAAAGGCUUUUCUCAAAACCUUUUUAAGAAGCACUUCUUUGUCCGAUUUGUGACUACAGUGAAAGGUGCUGGCAUAUUUCCCUCAGGGUGAGGAGAGCAUGGAGGCCUCAAGGAGGAACUGAAAUUAAGUUUGUCUGAGCAACACAAGGAGUUCCAAGAAGAAUAGAAAGUUCAGUCACAAUAUUUGGAUUCUAGUCUAUUCAAGCUCCAGACUCUGUGUUCAGCCAUAGCUGAUGACUAUCUUGAGCAUAUACACAGUAGAGAGUUGGAAGAAAAAAUUGACUUAAGGGGUAUUUAGAAUAUGGCUAUGUGCAAUAAAAUGUUUGAAUAGGCUGUUUUAGAGUCCUUUUAUUGAAACAAGUUUUAAAUAACUUUUAACUUUUUCAACUUGAAUGGGGUCAUGAAAAGUGAAUAGCAGAAUACUAGAUGUCUUAACAUGGUAGAAUAGAACUAUGGAAUCAUGUAGGUUGGAGAAGACUGCCAAGUCCAUUUAAUUUUACAAGUUCCUUAGAUUGUCAGUGUUUUAAGUGCGUUAUUCCAAGGUAUGUAUUCUACUCUGAGACUAGAAGAGGGUUUCCCAUGAUAAUUUUCAGGACAUAGUCUCCUGGGAAAAGUCCACUACUGUUCUUCAUGUCAAGUGUUGGUGUCCUUUUACAGAACUUAGCAAGUAGAAUCCUUUGAGGAAGAUAUGAAUAAUUAAUUGUAGUGGAUUUCAUGUGACUAUACCACAGGUUUUACUUGGAUGCACCUUGAAAUAGACAUUUAUUUCCUAAUGCCUUGGAGCACAUAAUAUUUACCUACAUAAUUUUCCUCUGUAGUCAGGCUUUGAAGUUACAAAUCAAAGUAAUUUGUCUGUUCUAGUUCAUAGGAUACUAAAAGAAAUAGUUCUUCAAAGAACAUGUAUUUCUAAAAGAAAUGUAAAGCACAAUUUCCAAAUAGAAUAAAUAAUAACUUGUGGUUUGACAAAGGAGGAAAAAGAGUUUUACCAAUGAACUGUAUUAAAAGUGCUGAAUGUGCCACAAGAGCUAUUGAAUGUUGCUUUCAACUUAAAUAAGUUAUUUUAGCAUCCAGUAAAAAAAGCAGAAUUUGUGAAUUUCACAGAUUCACCAAACAUUCUGAAUUGGAAGGAACCCACAAGGAUCAUCAUGUCCCACUCAUUGACUGACAAUUUACUACUGUAAUUGACAACUUGCUAGUAGUGGCUCUGGAAGCUGAACCAGUAAAAUGUAAUUUUUAUCACAAUUCCUAAAGGUAUUUUUAAAGAAUAUGUGCUUUUGGGAAUGUCUGUUUUAGAACUAAGUCUUUAAUUCAAUAAAUGUUUGCACAUCUUUAUUUCUGUGCCCAGGAAAGCAUAUGGCACAUGGAGUGCUCAGCAGAGCUGAAUAUACACAUCUAAUAUACCACAAAAUUCUAUUGAAAAGUAACUGUGUCAAGUCUAGGAAAGUGCUCUGCUUUCUGCAUUUAAUCAGAUUCACUGAGUGGAAGGUGCAAGAAAUCCCAUCAUAGACCCUAUUGACUAAUUUGCAUUAAGAGAUAUUUCUUCCCCACAUCCAUUAGUAUUUGGCUUAAAUCCUGAAUGAUUUCAUUAGCUAUGUAAGGGCUUAAUCUCUUGAAAAUCCUGCUAAGCUCUUGCCCUCAUUGAAAGCUGUGAUAAUUUGUUCUAGUUAAUUUUCAUUUAAAUAUAUAGCCUUUCAGUUCUUUUUUUUUUUAAUAAUGGCAAGAUGAAUAAGAACACAAUUUUUUUCUUUAUUUUAUUAUUUUGCAUCCCUCUGCUGUUUGGUCUUACAAUCUUCUUUUAAACAAUGCCACUUUUUUCAAUCUGUCAAUGCAGUUACUGCAAUUAUGAGGUAAAACUAAAUACUUAUGGAAGUUGAUGUUUUUAAUCCUGUUUUUUCAACACAGAGUAAUAUUUCAGACAGCUGUGAUUUUUGCUGUAAUUAUUCUUUUGACAUAUGAAAGGCUUAGAUUUAUUCAGAGUUGUCCUGCAACUUUUUUUCCAAAGGAAAGAGAACAACUUGCAAAAGGUUGUAAAAGAAAGUGCUGCUUUAAAUCUGUUUUAUAUUACUGCAAAUAUGUAAGGAAGCUAAAUAGUGUUUUUACUUUUUUUGCUAAUGGAAAUACACGCAAUUUCUGUUAUUUUGUGUUGAUACAGGAGGGAAAAUUGCAUUUGUACAACUCUAGAAAAAUUCUUUUGGAAUCUCUUAAUGGGGCUGUAUUGCAGGGGGAUAUGUUAUGAGCAAUUUGAUACUUUUUCAUCCUCUCCAGAAUGCUGACUGCAUUGUGAAUAUGGAGAAUUUAAGAAUGUGGCGAUAGUAUUGUUUCCUGUUAAAAAAAACCCCAAGGCCUGUACUAACAUCAAAUGUAAACAGGAAUAUAUAAACAGGGAUGGCUUAUGGAAACAAACAAAACGGGCAGUUUUUUCCAGGAGAAAGUGGCAAUGGAAGUGCUUCCAAUCUAGUUUUGUGUUGUCACAGUCUGGUUAUUGAGGAAGUGGAAAUGUUCUUGAUGGUCUCUUGUAGGUGUAGUGCUGCAUGCUUGCUACCUUUUUACCAACUAGUUCUCUCAUGUCUUAGGAUACUUUACAAUUCCCAAAAGAGUCUUACAGCCACCUCUGUGUUGUGGGAGGAUCCCUUUAGAGCACAUGACCUAAAUCCAGGUAUAGAAGUCUGAAGGGGACUUUGCUACUAGUCAGAGAAUGCGUUGCCCAGUAGGGCCUUAUCCAGUUUCCCAUUUGCCAUUCAGCUGGUUUUGGAUGCGUGGCCACAUGCCUCUCCUUCAUCUGUCAGUGCAGAUAGUCUUCAAGGUGUUUCAUCUCUGCUAAAAGGGAAUGGAAUAUCCAAGUCCUUGGAGAUUGUCCUUAGUGCACCACAGCAAACAGGAGCUAAGAUAAGAUAUGAACACUGAGAUGGGAUGCAAGGUCAGGAGCAUAGAACUACUCUCCAAAAUACAGGCACAGGAAACUCAGGCUCUUUGCUAUUUCUGAAGAAUUUCUCCACCUUUGGAGAUCUGCAGCAGUGCUGUCUGGAGUGUCAUCCACCCUCCUGCAAAAUCUGCCCAUCCAAGCACACAGAAGCACUUAGCAAAGCCUUGCUGCUGUUUGUGUUCUUAAAAUAAGUAAAUAGAGAACUAAGUAACAUAGUUGAAAGUGGUUGGAGAGGGUAAAGUAGAACACCAUUUGGCAAAAUCUUUUAUGACACCAUGUUAACAACAGGCAGAUUGACAAUCUGUCCUCUUCUGCAUGGAGUCUCAUUAAUAAAUCUGUAGGUCAAACUGAAGGGAGGGCAAGUGUUAAAAUACCCAGUCUGGUGAGCUUGAGUAUUGAAACAUCCAUAGUGUAACUGUGCAUACAAUAAUUUUCAAUUACUUCUAUUCAAUUUUAUGUUUUAAAUGCUUUGCAUAUAUCCUUUGUUUUCUUCAAUAUGAUAAAGAUAUCUAGAUACCUGAAAGUGCAUAGAAAAAGGUGUUUAAGGAGAAAAUUAUUGUGUAUUUACAGAUUGUUUGGUUUGGGGUUUUUCUUUUCAAUGUUCAGUAGUAAAUGCUUUCCUUUGUCAGAAUGCAUGCCUUGUUUAUUGAAGUUAUAGCAAUUUCUUACAUUACAUUUAAUUUCAGGAAAGAGCAGUCUAAUGUAAGUUUCACAAUUGUACUUCUAAAAUAUCACUGAGAUAGAGACUAAAAAUAACAGUGUGUAUUUUGUUAUUGCUGCUUUACUUGGAGUUUUGAAAAACUGCUGUUGACAACCUUUUAAUACAGAAUGACCAACUGGGCACUUGCACUCACUCAGAUAAGGCCUUAUCUACUCACAAGACUUUUGUUCCUGUGAACAUUCAGAAUGCAGAGUUAAUAAAUUAUUGCAGGAAUAUGCUACAUUACUUUCUGGCUUAUAUAUAGAUUUAACCACAGUAUUACAGUUGGAAAAAGUUUUUAUUUCUGGUGAUGUGUCAGUCACUAAAAUGUUGACUUUAAAAUUCAUAUUUUAAACUAAAUUUGCAAUGCUGGAAGACCAUAAAUAUCCUCAUGUUUAAAGUAAAUAAUGAACCUGGGUCAUGGGAAGCAGAGAUAAGGCUUUUCUUGUUAUGUACAAACACAAAAAUAGUUUCAGACUUGCAAUUUCAAAUCUGAAGCUGAGACUUCUACUGAAAUGUUGAAAAGUAUUUGGCAGUCCCUGUAGUUGGUAGGAGACUCAGAAAUGUCAUGGCUAGUUCCUAUUUUUUAAUUACAGUGAAAAAAACCCCAAAAACUUGAGAUUUCAAGGCCACAGUCUAGACAGACUUGAGUUUUGCUGCCUUAAGAGUGAGGACAAACUUUCCAGAUCAAAGUACCCAUGUAAUAUGCAUGCUGCCAUUGUAUUGGAGCAUUGCCCUUGUUCCUUACAGGGAUGGAGUACAGCUUGCUCUCCCUCUGGCCCUAGGUCCCCCAAAAAGGUUUUCACUAUCAGUGAUACCUAAAUGGAUGGGUGAAAGCAAAGAGGCCUCACAAUUUCAUUUUUUUAACUACAGACAAAUUAAAUUUUAAGCAAGCUUAUUAAUUUCUGUGACUUAGGCCAUAAUCAUAGCCUUGCUGCAAAUAUGCAACGUGCAGUGUUAGAAAAAAACAGAACUUCUUCUAGUAAGCAGCAGUUAUCAGAAGUUCAAAACAAUCAAAAAUAUCUGUGCUAGGACACAUCAUGUGAUUCUACAGUGCCUGCAGCAUGACUGAGCCUUCACAGCUAUUGUAAAUAACACAAGUGCUUGUGGCUCUUGACAAGAGGCUAUUCCCAUGUCUCCUAAAUGAUUUCUAGCAUUAGAAAUCUGAGAUUGCCAGCAUUAAUGGUUGCUUUUUUGUAUGAGAACAAAAUGAAUUCCACCCGCUGGCUCUUGAACUACUCGCGUUCUUUUGUUCUUUAUUUCUUUGUUACAGCUGUGUACUAGACUCAUUGUUGAAGUGUACAAUAUUUAGCAUAUGCUGUGGCUGCAAUUAGUUUUAAAGCUCCUUCCUGCACGAUUUCCUUCCUACUUUUUUUUUUUUCAAUUGUGAAGUCUGAGUGCUCCUGAAGCUUAUGAUAUGUCACAGAAAACAAGGGGGGAGGAAGGGAAAGAAGUCCUUACAGCUUCAGCCAGCUACACAAGGAAAGACAGUUUACAUAUUUAAAAAAAAAAAAUACAAAGCAUAAUACACACUGGAGCCUUCUUACUCAAAACUAGUUUUAUUUUAAAAAAUAAGUUGAAUGCAUAGCACUCACAAAGAUUCCAUUGUUUUGGACAUUUUGCAUUUAGAAGCACCAUUCUUAUUUAUGCCAUAAAAACCACAUUUUGGUUCUAAUAGUAAGAACAGUGUAUUUUUAAUGUACACUGAUAAAGCCCUUUUAAAUAAUAUAGAUUGAAACUGUUCAGUGUACAUUUUCUCUGUAGUCAUGAUGCAGCUGUAGUGUCAGGAAAAAAACUCAGACUAAGUAAUAAAUUAAAAACAAACAGUAUGUAGUGGAUCUUUUUACAAUUGACCUAAUGUAUUAAAAUAGUCAAAUAAAAAACACCCUAUUAAAUGUAAAGCUGUGGUAUUAACUAACUGAAAAAGCCCCCCACCCAUUAUAAUUCCAGUGUUAAGUAUUAGUUAAAUUUUUAUAUAUCAAAUGCCUAUGGGAUAAAUUUACUAAUACCCCCAAAAAAGAAGAGCCUAUACUGCUGUGUCACAAAAAAAAGAUGACAAGUUAGCUGACUUGAAGAUUUUACAGAAAAAAAAUUGCUACAGGCAUCUGCUGUUAUUUCAAGUCAUGGUCUAUUACAAGACUGUACAUUCAUAGCAUCAGAGGUAGUUAGAGCACUGAGGACUUGGAUACAUUGCAACAAAAUGAAACCAGCAGAAAGAAGUCCAUUUCCCUCUAAAAUGGGUAACAGUGCUGAGUAAAAAACAUGGCAUCUUACGAGGUGGAAAGUCUCUACUUAACACUACUCUCAGACACAGGGAAAUAUUCAUUAAGAGAUGAAGAGAGGAGAGGGAAAAAAAAAACCAAACCAACUUUCAUUUUAAUAAGGAAUUGACCACACUAUGCCUAUUUUAAAGUUGAUUCUCUAGGAUAAAAGGGAGAGGAUCAUCUUUUCCAUUCAUCCUCCUAUUCUUCUUGACUUGCACAUCUAUGCUACAAAAGCCCACAACAAAAAUUGAUAUUUAAAAGACAAACCAAGAGAAACAGGAUUUCUUCUCCUCAACAAUAAAUAGUUUUUUGUAGCAUGUUACAAUUUAGUCCCAGAAAGAAUGAACACAGCUGUCCUCCCUCCAUUCUGAAUAUUAUGGUGAUAAAGCUUUCAUCUUCAUAUUGAUAUUGUAAUUUAAUUGCCCCUGCUUUCAAAACAAUUCACAGUAAUUCAGUGUCAUGUGAUGGUACACAAUUUUAAGUGCUGCCACUAAGACAGGGAAGAAGAUGGUAAAAAACCAAACAAAACUACCAGAAAAAGCCUUAAGCCCAUGUACUAUAAAGAUAUUUUAAAGUAGUAAGAAUCCUGUUAUUCAUGCCACUUCCUCCCAUAUUCUACCACAGGAGAAAGUCUGAUGUCUUCUUGUAUUUAAAGAAAAACAACAAAAAAAACCAAAACAAAACAAAACACCCCCCCAAAAAACCCCAACACACAAAGGACCCCAAAAACCAUCUCCAUUAGUAUCUCUACUAUAAUUUUCAUCCAAGAGGUGGAUGAGUGAAACUUUCUACCCUCAGACUAUCCACUCCACAGGAGAUAGUGUAAUUCCAUAAAGUUAUAUUAUUAGCACCUUACUUGUGAUGAAGCAGUUCAUUCUGCAAAAUAUUUUUGAUCCACCCACUUGGAAGAGCAAAUCUCUACAUCUUCUUCUGGAACUCCCAAAUAGUAGAAGAAAAAGUUGCCCCUUUAUUACCUGAGUAUUUCCCUCCACUGGUAAGAAUGACAGAACUGGAUUUCUGUCAGCAUUUAGGUGUACUUUUUCUGUAGGGACGAUACUGUCAGUACAACUGGAGGAUGCUUUCUGUUGGUUAAUAAUAUUCAUGUGUUUUUGUGUGUGUACACAGAGGAAUCACAGCCACUGUAGUAGUUCUGGUACAGUACAAGUUCAGUUGAAAGUUUCUCUUUUCUUCAAUUAUCACACUGCUGGGCAGUAGUUCACAUCUACAUUCUGUGAACACUAACAUGUCCCUUUGGUACUCUGCAUAGA